rnacentral:snRNA from 1 species
GUGUUCCCCCAUUCGCCAGCAUACACAAAAUUGGAACAAUACAGAAAAGAUUAGUUUGGCAGUGGUGACAUGCAAGUUCAAUUCAUAAAAUAUUU